GCUCAGUGCAUUUUACUGAGGCCAUGAAGACCUCCUGUAACUAGUGAGUUGGUUGAGUGGAAGCUGGCUGUUAUGGUUUGGGUCUGGCAUGUUUCCCAAAGGCUCACAUGUGGAAGGCUUGGUCCCCAGUCUCUGGCAAGGUUGGAAGGUGGUGAAACCUUCAGGAGAUAGAACAUAGUGAUGGCCUUAAAGAUGAUAUUAAGAUCCCAGGGCCAGGGAUGUAGCCUAGUGGCACAGAGCCUGCCUGGCAAGUGUAAGGUCCUGAGUUCGAUUCCUGGUACCAAAAACCAAACCAAAACAAAAAAAGAUCCCAACCCCGUCCUGUUACUCCUUGCUUCCUGGCUUCCAUGAGGUAAACUGUUUCCUCUGCUAGGUCCCCUCUGCCCUUCUACUGGCUCAAAAGCUAUAGGGGCCAAGUGACCAUGGACUGAAUACUUUGAAACCAUAAACCAAUAUAAACCUUUCCUCCCUUUAUAUUGUAUAUUGAGUUAACUCAGAUCUUUUGUUGCAGUGAGAGAAAUUUCAUCAACAUAUUGAUUCAAUCAUUUGGCAGCAAUAUUCCUCCUCUGAAGCAGAUCAAGUUUCAUGCCACCAGAGUGAGAAUGAAGGCUCUUCUCUUCCUUUCUGAGUCUGAGUCCCAGUGUAAUGCUUUCUUCAAGCCCUCUGUGGGUGGGAUGCUUUGUCAUUCAUUCCCUUCCAGAUGGCUGCUAUCACUUUCUCCUGCCUUGACUUGAUUUCCUAUGGGCAGAGACCAAAUUACAGACUGUAAGUCUCAUCAAAUUAAAGAGGACCAACUGCCCAGUAGCUCUGACAAGACCACCAGACAGAGAAGUCUUUGGUGUGUUCCCUCAGAUACUCUUUUUCAAAUUUAUCCCCAAGGAGAAGCGAAACUUAAUUUGUCAAAGGUAAUUUACAGCUUGUGUUUUCAGAGGAAGAAGUUCCCCUGAAGACAUGUCUUUAUGAAAGAAUCUGGAUGGAGAGCGUGGCUGUUGACCUGAGAUGCAGCUGCUCAAGUGGGAUAAAUCACAGUGCUGUCGGUGCAGCCAUGCAUUGUGCUGGGCUGGGCACAGCGUGUCCAUGCAGAGGUGGACUACAUUUCUGCCCCAGGUCAGAUGCACAUCACAAGUUGCUCUGAUGCAACAGAGAGGACUUUGUUACAGUCUGUGCCCCCUGUGUGGCUUUUGAAUGAUUCUUCAGAGAGCUUCCAAUGACUGACAAGGGGAGAUGGGCCAGGUACAAGGAACUGACAAUGCUGCCUCCUAAGCAACGCACAAUAUGAGGAACACCUAAUACACUGGCCUAAGCACACUGGCCCAAAAGUAAAAGCUGGAAAUAGUGAGCUGAAAGAAGAGUUGACCCACUAGUGACCUUAUUGUGCCAAUAAACAUAGAGUUGAUUGUGA